CUUGUAGCUCAGUGGUAGAGUGCUUGCCUAGCACGUGUGAGGCACUGGGUUUGAUCCUCAGCACCACA
rnacentral:tRNA from 1 species